rnacentral:lncRNA from 1 species
AUGGCAUUUCUAAAGUCUAAGGAUGACAAAAAGGCAAUGGGAGUGGGUGCAGGAAGAAGAGGUUCAAUUCCGGAUGACCUAUCCCUCCGUGAUUUGAUGAGGGAGAUGCAGAAAAUCUCCGAAAAACAAGAUGCAUAUCAAAAGAUAGCGGAGGAACAAAGAAUGGAGGCAAGGAAAGAGAUGAGAGAAGAAAUAGAUACACUAAAAAAGGAAAUCUCAAUGGAAUUAGGGGUUAUGAAGAAAGAUCUGGACUAUUUAAGACAAGAAAUGAAACAAACAAAGAUAGAAACAAAGAAAAUAGAAAAAACACAAGAUAGAAUAAGCAAUAAAUUGCAAGGAUUAGAGGAAAAAAACAUUAAAUUAGAAGAUAAAUAUGAACAAUGGGAGCAAAAGGAAUUGGAAUUUCAAUUAAGAUUCCGAAACAUCCAGGAAGAAGCAAAGGAAAAUAUCAGACUGAUCAUUACCAAAAUGGUGGCAGAGAAACUACGGAUAACAGAAGAAGAAGCAGAUCAAAAUAUCGACCGGGUAUAUAGAGUAACUACGAAUUACUCUAAGAGAAACAAAGCUGAUAGGGAUGUGAUAGUACAAUUCGGACGAAAAAGAGUUAGAGAUGAAAUUUUGAAAGAAAAUAGCCAAACACCAACAAUAUUUAAAGGGAAGAGAGUAGCAAUACUUAAAGAAUACCCAACAUCGACCCUGAUAAAGAGGAGAAAAUAUUUCUUUUUAACGGAGGACCUGAAAACACUGGGAAUACGAUUCAGAUGGGAAAAAAAAGAGGGCAUUAUGGUCUCCUACAAAGAGAAUAAGUAUUGGCUGACAACUGAAGAGAAGGCCAGGGAGUUCCAUAAAAGACUGAAAAGUGAGAUGGGUGAAAGUAAAUCUAAAGAAGGCAUGGUUCCAAGAGAAACCAAAAAAACCAAGAGAGCAAGGUUUGAUUCUCCGGAAGAAGAAGAUAUUCAAUCAGGAAAAGAGGAAGACAUCUGCGAUAGAGAAGAAGAGGAAGAAGAAGGAGUAGAA